rnacentral:rRNA from 1 species
UACGGGGGAUGCAAGCGUUAUCCGGAAUCAUUGGGCGUAAAGCGCCUGUAGGUUGUUUAAUAAGUCUGUUGUUAAAGACUAGGGCUUAACCCUAGAAAAGCAAUGGAAACUACUAGACUAGAGUAUGGCAGGGGUAGAGGGAAUUUCUAGUGUAGCGGUGAAAUGCGUAGAUAUUAGAAAGAACACCAGCGGCGAAAGCGCUCUACUGGACCAUUACUGACACUCAGAGGCGAAAGCUAGGGUAGCAAAAGGGAUUAGAUACCCCUGUAGUCUUAGCCGUAAACGAUGGAUACUAGAUGUUGUGCAUAUCGUACAGUAUCGUAGCUAACGCGUUAAGUAUCCCGCCUGGGGAGUACGAUCGCAAGGUUG